rnacentral:rRNA from 1 species
AACAGGGAUUACCUCAGUAACGGCGAGUGAAGCGGUAAAAGCUCAAAUUUGAAAUCUGGCUCUUUCAGAGUCCGAAUUGUAAUUUGUAGAAGAUGCUUCGGGUGUGGUUCCGGUCUAAGUUCCUUGGAACAGGUCAUCACAGAGGGUGAGAAUCCCGUAUGUGACUGGAUACCUAUGCUCAUGUGAAGCUCUUUCGACGAGUCGAGUUGUUUGGGAAUGCAGCUCAAAAUGGGUGGUAUAUUUCAUCUAAAGCUAAAUAUUGGCCAGAGACCGAUAGCGCACAAGUAGAGUGAUCGAAAGAUGAAAAGCACUUUGGAAAGAGAGUUAAACAGUACGUGAAAUUGUUGAAAGGGAAGCGCUUGCAAUCAGACUUGCCCCUAGUUCCAGUGGUGACUUGUUCACCGUUAAUCUGCCUAGGGUCAGGCCAGCAUCAGUUUGGAUGGUUAGAUAAAGGCUUGAAGAAUGUGGCCCUCUUCGGGGGGUGUUAUAGCUUCAGGUGCAAUGUAGCCUAUCUGGACUGAGGACCGCGCUUCGGCUAGGAUGCUGGCGUAAUGGUUGUAAGCGACCCGUCUUGAAACACGGACCAAGGAGUGUACCUCAUAUGCGAGUGUUUGGGUGUUAAACCCAUACGCGUAAUGAAAGUGAACGGAGGUGAGAACCCUUAAGGGUGCAUCAUCGACCGAUCCUGAUGUCUUCGGAUGGAUUUGAGUAAGAGCAUAUGGGGUGCGACCCGAAAGAUGGUGAUCUAUACGUGAAUAGGGUGAAGCCAGAGGAAACUCUGGUGGAGGCUCGCAGCGGUUCUGACGUGCAAAUCGAUCGUCAAAUUUGCGUAUAGGGGCGAAAGACUAAUCG